AACGAACGCUGGCGGCAGGCUUAACACAUGCAAGUCGAGCGCCCCGCAAGGGGAGCGGCAGACGGGUGAGUAACGCGUGUGAAUCUACCCAUCUCUACGGAAUAACGCAUGGAAACGUGUGAUAAUACCGCAUACGUCCUUCGGGAGAAAGAUUUAUCGGAGCUGGAUGAGCCCGCGUUGGAUUAGCUAGUUGGUGGGGUACAGGCCUACCAAGGCGGCGAUCCAUAGCUGGUCUGAGGGGAUGAUCAGCCACACGGGGACUGAGACACGGCCCAGACUCCUACGGGAUGCAGCAGUGGGGAAGAUUGGGCAAUGGCCGCAAGCCUGAUCCAGCCAUGCCGCGUGAGUAAUGAAGGCCCUAGGGUUGUAAAGCUCUUUCACCGGUGAAGAUAAUGACGGGAACCGGAGAAGAAGCCCCGGCUAACUUCGUGCCAGCAGCCGCAGUAAUAC
rnacentral:rRNA from 1 species